CCCGCCCCGUCACGUGAAGCUCGCCCUGGCAACCCCACGUGCUGCGGAUUAGUGCACUUCCGGCGUGCAGAGCUGCCUGCAGUCGACUGUUUGAAGCUUCGCAGUGUUCCCGGGCGAGAUGCAUCCUCAUCUUCAGUUCGGCGCCCAGUUGACCUUGGGGACGACUAUUAGGACCAGGUAGCUUGCUCUGGGCCCUAGCACGCAGAUAUCCAGUUGGACCAGUGAGAUUUGUUGAAGAUGCUUUCUUCUUUUCCCAUUGUAUAAUAAGCUUCUUUGUCAAAAAUCAGUCUGCAUUCGAUCGUAGAACUCUCCAAAACGCUGAUUGAAUUCUAAAUACUGGCUAAGAGUAAUGUUUCCUCUGUGAUACAGGAGCUCUGGAUUCCCAAAGCCUCAGGACCUAACUGAUAUCAGGCACUAUGCUCAUUCUACAAAGAGAUCAUGUUUGCAGAGUACUGACCACCAUCCAGGAAGAGAAGCUUUGUUUCUGAUGAGAACCUACUUCUGACCUACUGAAAGCUACAACUGCAAACAUAUGCACUGAGUGUCAUUAACACUGUUUCUUGAGGGGGAGUACGGUUCUGAGUGAAUCUGAAUGUGGGAAAUGAGGGAGAGAUGAUAUCUGAAAACCUCUGUAAGUUGCCUCAUGCUGCCUAAUAAAGAAUGAAUAAAGUAAGGAAUUCUUAUUUGCGGACCUUUAGUUUUUGCCUGAGUUGUGAGAUUUUACAACUCUGCACCUGGGUAUAAAGAACAAAUAAUUAUCACAGACCUGGAUUCCCUAAUAAACCUCCAGCUCAAUGUUAUCAUCAGUGAAGUAUCCCAGGACAUUCUUCAGGAACCUAGAAGAUCUUCUGUUCACUGACUCUGAAUCAAAACUCCACUCUGGGGGCUUAGCACAUGAACGGCUCUUAGAACCCUUCUGCCUCAUCCCAAGCCCUUCUGCUAGCUUGGAGCUCACUUGGGUUUGUGGAAUCUGCGCAAUGGUGUAUAGCUCUGAAUACCUCUUUUCCUAACUUGGUUAAGAAGAUGAAACCUGAGAUUAUGUAGUCUCUGGCGAAGCUACAGCUUCACCAACCCUGUUCUUAUGACUUCACCUGGUAAACUUACAUGGGAUGGUAUAUAGAUAUCGUAGGAGUUUCCAGAAUCAACAUCAAUUACAUGGAAACCAGUGUGUGAGCCAAAUAUGACCUUUAACCUUUGACCUUCUUCUACUGUGAGGUCAACGAGCAGAGGCUUAUGCUGAAGAUCUGCAAAAGACUUUAAAAAUUACCUCAUUAGUAUCGCUUGCUCACCAGCAGCUGAAGACUCAUCAUCCUCUUCAUCUUCAUCAGUGGGCGAUGUCUGGUACACUCGAGGGUCCACGAAGGGGGUGAAAGAGGCUUUGGUGCUGCUCCCUAUACCAUAC
rnacentral:lncRNA from 1 species